rnacentral:rRNA from 1 species
UCUUAGCUUGCUAAGGCCGAUGGCGACCGGCGCACGGGUGAGUAACACGUAUCCCACCUGCCGUCUACUCUUGGACAGCCUUCUGAAAGGAAGAUUAAUACAAGAUGGCAUCAUGAGUUCACAUGUUCACAUGAUUAAAGGUAUUCCGGUAGACGAUGGGGAUGCGUUCCAUUAGAUAGUAGGCGGGGUAACGGCCCACCUAGUCUUCGAUGGAUAGGGGUUCUGAGAGGAAGGUCCCCCACAUUGGAACUGAGACACGGUCCAAACUCCUACGGGAGGCAGCAGUGAGGAAUAUUGGUCAAUGGGCGCAGGCCUGAACCAGCCAAGUAGCGUGAAGGAUGACUGCCCUAUGGGUUGUAAACUUCUUUUAUAAAGGAAUAAAGUCGGGUAUGUAUACCCGUUUGCAUGUACUUUAUGAAUAAGGAUCGGCUAACUCCGUGCCAGCAGCCGCGGUAAUACGGAGGAUUCGAGCGUUAUCCGGAUUUAUUGGGUUUAAAGGGAGCGUAGAUGGAUGUUUAAGUCAGUUGUGAAAGUUUGCGGCUCAACCGUAAAAUUGCAGUUGAUACUGGAUAUCUUGAGUGCAGUUGAGGCAGGCGGAAUUCGUGGUGUAGCGGUGAAAUGCUUAGAUAUCACGAAGAACUCCGAUUG